UACGUAGGGGGCAAGCGUUGUCCGGAAUCAUUGGGCGUAAAGCGCGUGUAGGCGGCUCGAUAAGUCUGCUGUGAAAGUCCAGGGCUCAACCCUGGAAUGCCGGUGGAAACUGUCGAGCUAGAGUCCGGAAGAGGCGAGUGGAACUCCUGGUGUAGCGGUGAAAUGCGCAGAUAUCAGGAGGAACACCAAUGGCGAAGGCAGCUCGCUGGGACGGUACUGACGCUGAGACGCGAAAGCGUGGGGAGCAAACAGG
rnacentral:rRNA from 1 species